AGCAAAAAGUAGAAAUCUCCAAGGGCACCGCGGACCCUUCUCUAAUGAAUCAAUGGAAACGCCCACUGAUCUGGAGAUGUGAUAUCUGGAACCCCCCACCCCCUCUCACCGCCGACCAGCCCCACUGCUGCACCGUUGCCUGCCCUCGCAAUUUUGGGGCGGGACUGGAGAGAGCCUGCUGAAUAAUCGCCCUGCGCAUGCGCAGCCGCCAUGAGUCACGUGGCCUGACGCCACCCAAGUCCUCAAGGGCGAGGCCUCAGGAACUUUCUGUCGUCAGUGGGGACCCUUGGGACAGCUUUCUUCUCACCUCGGCUGGAGCUUGGGGUCCUUGGAACACCCGAGUGUGCACUUGAAGGGCUGAGAGAGAAGGCAAAGACCUUCCAGAACCUCAAAUGAGGGUUCUUUUGACCUUCGUAUGUUUUCUGUUUUGAGUCAGGGUCUAGCUCUGUUGCCCAGGCUGGAGUGCAGUGGUGCAAUCACAGCUCACUGCAACCUCUGCCUCCCAGGUCAAGGGAUCCUCUUGCUUCAGCCUCCUGAGUAGCUGGGACCACAGGUUCGCACAAUCACCCAAGCUAUUUUUUUUUUUUUUUUUUUUUUUUUUGAGACCUAGUCUCAUUUUGUCUCCCAGACUGGAGUGCAGUGACGCGAUCCUGUCUCACUGCAACCUCCACCCUCCGGGUUCAAGCGAUUCUCUUGCCUCAGCCUCCCUAGUAGCUGGGAUUACAGGCGGCUGCCACCACGCCUGGCUAAUUUUUGUAUUUUGGUAGAGACGGGGUUUCACCGUGUUGCCCAGGCUGGUCUCGGGAACUCCUGAGCUCGGGCAAUGCGCCUGCCUCGGCCUCCCAAAGUGCUGGGAUUACAGGCAUGAGCCAACGCGCCCGGCCCACCCAAGUUAUUUUUAAAAUUUUUUUGUAGAGAGGGGGUCUCACUUUGUUGCCCAAGCUGGUCUGGAAUCCUGGCUUCAAGCGACCUGCCCGCUUUGGUCACCCAAAGUGUUGGGAUUACAGGAGGUGCUCCCAGUCACCCUUUCCAUGUUUGAGGGAGGCUUUCCCAGGCCCCUGGGACCAAAGGAAACCAACCAGGGAAAUGGCUGGCCUGAGGCAGGUCAGCCCUUCUGGGCAGCCCUUCCUCAUCCGUUCACCCAGGUAACAAAUGAGCCCUUCCCUGGUGUUCAGCACUAAAGAUACAGUGACAAGGACCCAGCUGGGGAGAUAGACUUUCCCUGGGAAGUGGAAACUGAGUGGAAACUGAAGGGAUGCAUCCGAGUUAAUCUGGGGGAGCUGGGAGAGAAAGAGGUUGCAGACGGACCAGGGACAUUGAGGAGGGUAAAAGCUUUCAAGGGGGAAUGAGCCUGGAUGGUCUCGAGAACUGAUGGGCGUGGGAACAGUGGCCUUGGGAAGAAUUUUGGACUUGAUCCUAAGAGCAGCAGGAAGCCACUGAAAUUGGGGGAUAAUGUAAUUUUUAGAGUCCUGCACUGAAUCAUUUUGCUUUUCUUUCUCAUUCAGAAAAAUGGAUUUUGAAUUCCACACCUGCCAUACUAAUUUUUAAAACUUUAUUUUCAGAAAUAGAAAAGAAGAGAACAAUGGACUAUGUGUUUCUUCUCAGGGUUAAAUAUGCUAAAAGACGCAAAUUGCCUAGCAUUCUAUAUGUGGUCUAUAAAUGGUAAUUCCCUAUCUCUCCUCUAAAUUCCAUUCCACAAUUUGCACCAUUCCAGGAGCAUUGGAGGAGAUCAAUCCUCCCUACAGACUAAAGAUAAAUUUCAUUUGAAGUACCUGGGUGGAUGAAAAAUUUGAUUAGUUCAAAAGAUUAAAGGGU
rnacentral:lncRNA from 1 species